rnacentral:rRNA from 1 species
GGGGCAGUGCGGGAUGCUAUACAUGCAGUAGAACGCUGAAGAGAGGAGCUUGCUCUUCUUGGAUGAGUUGCGAACGGGUGAGUAACGCGUAGGUAACCUGCCUUGUAGCGGGGGAUAACUAUUGGAAACGAUAGCUAAUACCGCAUAACAAUGGAUGACACAUGUCAUUUAUUUGAAAGGGGCAAUUGCUCCACUACAAGAUGGACCUGCGUUGUAUUAGCUAGUAGGUGAGGUAAUGGCUCACCUAGGCGACGAUACAUAGCCGACCUGAGAGGGUGAUCGGCCACACUGGGACUGAGACACGGCCCAGACUCCUACGGGAGGCAGCAGUAGGGAAUCUUCGGCAAUGGGGGCAACCCUGACCGAGCAACGCCGCGUGAGUGAAGAAGGUUUUCGGAUCGUAAAGCUCUGUUGUAAGUCAAGAACGGGUGUGAGAGUGGAAAGUUCACACUGUGACGGUAGCUUACCAGAAAGGGACGGCUAACUACGUGCCAGCAGCCGCGGUAAUACGUAGGUCCCGAGCGUUGUCCGGAUUUAUUGGGCGUAAAGCGAGCGCAGGCGGUUUGAUAAGUCUGAAGUUAAAGGCUGUGGCUCAACCAUAGUUCGCUUUGGAAACUGUCAAACUUGAGUGCAGAAGGGGAGAGUGGAAUUCCAUGUGUAGCGGUGAAAUGCGUAGAUAUAUGGAGGAACACCGGUGGCGAAAGCGGCUCUCUGGUCUGUAACUGACGCUGAGGCUCGAAAGCGUGGGGAGCGAACAGGAUUAGAUACCCUGGUAGUCCACGCCGUAAACGAUGAGUGCUAGGUGUUGGAUCCUUUCCGGGAUUCAGUGCCGCAGCUAACGCAUUAAGCACUCCGCCUGGGGAGUACGACCGCAAGGUUGAAACUCAAAGGAAUUGACGGGGGCCCGCACAAGCGGUGGAGCAUGUGGUUUAAUUCGAAGCAACGCGAAGAACCUUACCAGGUCUUGACAUCCCGAUGCUAUUUCUAGAGAUAGAAAGUUACUUCGGUACAUCGGUGACAGGUGGUGCAUGGUUGUCGUCAGCUCGUGUCGUGAGAUGUUGGGUUAAGUCCCGCAACGAGCGCAACCCCUAUUGUUAGUUGCCAUCAUUCAGUUGGGCACUCUAGCGAGACUGCCGGUAAUAAACCGGAGGAAGGUGGGGAUGACGUCAAAUCAUCAUGCCCCUUAUGACCUGGGCUACACACGUGCUACAAUGGUUGGUACAACGAGUUGCGAGUCGGUGACGGCGAGCUAAUCUCUUAAAGCCAAUCUCAGUUCGGAUUGUAGGCUGCAACUCGCCUACAUGAAGUCGGAAUCGCUAGUAAUCGCGGAUCAGCACGCCGCGGUGAAUACGUUCCCGGGCCUUGUACACACCGCCCGUCACACCACGAGAGUUUGUAACACCCGAAGUCGGUGAGGUAACCUUUGGAGCCAGCCGCCUAAGGUGACAGAAAGUGGG